rnacentral:lncRNA from 1 species
ACGAUCUGUGCCUUCUCUUCCAUUAUAAAACCUGUGGGAAUUCAGGAUUCAUUGGCCAUGAAUGUAAAUUAAGUUUAAGUGGUCUUGAUAUUCACUGCCACCGUUUUAUAAUUGGAGCUUUGGUAGGAUUUAUUGAUAAAUUAUCUAAAAUCAAAUCUUCUCUUCGAGUUGCGGACAACCCUGUAAUAAAUGGAAAGAAUUUUGUUCCCACGUCUGCUUCUUCACUUCAAAAUUCUGGUUAUUCCAACUUCUUUGAAACCUCCUUCUCUGAAUGGGCAACUGUUUCAUUGGAUCAGUUCCCUUUCACCCUAAAAGAUACUGCUUCUUUUCUUAAUCUUGGAAGUUUCUCAAACGAUAAUACCUCCGAGUGGAGGAAGGUUCUCAAUUUUAGAGACUGGAAGGACAGAAAUCCUAAGGAUGACAUUGAGGAUAGAUCUAACAGUCAGCUUCCAAUUUCGGUUAAUUCUUCUUUUCAAGUUGAUGAUGCUAAAAAGGCAUAUUUCAUUGACUUGGAGCUAAGCAACAGUCGAGUUCAUUUUCAUGAAUCCUCUUACAUAAUUGGAACUCUUCUAUUUCCAAAUGUCAAGUCUGCAUUGUGUAUUUGCGCGGACUAUCUGGAUAUACUUUGCUCUGCUGAGGGGUUGGUUCUUUCUUCUCUACAAUGGACUCAAAUGAUGCAGGAUUUCCUUUGGGGUCCCUUGAAAUCCACUUUCCCUCCAACUUUAAAGUUACGUGUCUGGAAAGAAAGUGUAAAGUCACCGUUGAAAGUGAGUUUCAGUAUCCAGCACGUGUCCUGUGUUUUACUGCCUGAGUUCCUUGCAGUUAUCAUUGGUUAUUUUACCUUACCUGAUUUGAGCUC